GGUAGGGUGACCUGACCAUAAAGAUCAUCAGGCGGCUGUGUGUCAACAUCCGGAUCUGCUAAAGGAAGGAAACAUCAGCAAUGUAUCUUAUGGUUUGCUGACACUGCUGCUUACAUGGAGGCUGAUACCACAUGCUUUGUGCUGUUCUUUGCAGUCUAAGGACCUGCGCAUUGUUUUGCUAAACAUGUUGUAUCCUAGCUGUUCCCAGGACUGCACUCUUCUG